rnacentral:rRNA from 1 species
GACGAACGCUGGCGGCGUGCUUAACACAUGCAAGUCGAACGGAAAGGCCCUGCUUGCCGGGUACUCGAGUGGCGAACGGGUGAGUAACACGUGGGUGAUCUGCCCUGCACUUCGGGAUAAGCCUGGGAAACUGGGUCUAAUACCGGAUAGGAGCCAUUUUUAGUGUGAUGGUUGGAAAGUUUUUUCGGUGUAGGAUGAGCUCGCGGCCUAUCAGCUUGUUGGUGGGGUAAUGGCCUACCAAGGCGGCGACGGGUAGCCGGCCUGAGAGGGUGGACGGCCACAUUGGGACUGAGAUACGGCCCAGACGCCUACGGGAGGCAGCAGUGGGGAAUAUUGCACAAUGGGCGCAAGCCUGAUGCAGCGACGCCGCGGGGGGGAUGACGGCCUUCGGGUUGUAAACUCCUUUCGCUAGGGACGAAGCUUUUUGUGACGGUACCUAGAUAAGAAGCACCGGCUAACUACGUG